UUUUCUUCAGUCUCUUCUUCGAUGGUAUUUGAACUAGCCAUAUAGUGUUCUACAAAUGUGUUGAUAGCUUAUGUUGCUUGAUGCGACUCUGAGAUGGUAGCAGAUGCAAAUUUGUGAUGGUUAAGCUUUGUAAAAUCACAUUUAAUAUAAAAUUUCAAUACAAUAAAAAUAUAACAUGAUUUUAAUUGAUAUGGGAUGAGGAUGGAGAUGAAUGAUAGUGAUAGUAUGUACUACCAAAAUUACUCUUUAGUUUUAUUUUUUUAUUGAUUUCUUUUGUUACUUUGUUCUUGGUUCAAAUGAAAACUCAACUAUGGCAUUGGAGAGAUUAUCUUUUUAGACUAUAUUUUGUGGACCAUAGGAUAUGGCGGUUGAUGGUUCAAAUCCUUCUUUAAACCAUUAAAAAUGGAUUCAAAGUACCAAUUGCCUCAUUAUGUGGUUUACAAAAUAUGGUUUAAAAAGAUGAUUUUCUUAGCAUUUUUCUUCCCCCCAUAAAUUAUGUUACAAAUUUAAAGACCAUUUUCUCUGCAUUAGACCAUUUCAAACAAGCAUUGAUGCCUCUCAUUCAUAAAUUAACGAGAAUCUAAUGUGAAAAAUAUAAAGUUCAGGUGCCUAUAUCCAAAUGCCUAUUUAAUUUGGAAUGUGCCCCUUGAAAUUGUUAGAGAUAAAUGCUAACGAGACUCUCUUAAAAGUGGGAUUAGUUAUAGACUCUCUGUCACCUCAUGUUUUUGACACAAUGUUUUAAAAUGUUAACCCGAAGAAUUGACAUUAAAUUGUACUGUUGAGCAAAAAUUGUACAUAAUAUGUAAACAAAUAAUUCACUCGACACAAUUUCACCCUCGUCAUUUUUCGAAGAGGGUUUUAUUAAUUCGAGUUCGACCCAUUCUAGGCUAUGCGCCUAUUAAUUACAACCAUUCUUUUAGGAAAGGAAUACCCUUUGAUUCUAAUUCGAAUAAAAUGUAACUUGAGGAUUUUGGUGUUUGUUUGAUUUUGUGACUGCACCUAGGUCGAAUCCUAGAUUGCCUACGUACCCUCUUGAGGGAUCAAGUCACUCGUAGUUCAAGUAUUUGGUACUUGUUUGGAUUUGAUGCCUUGUGCAGUUUUAGCUCAUAAGGGCGAGGAGCAUAGUGCCUUAUGCAGUUUCAGCUCAUGCGGGCGAGGAGCAACUGAUGCCUUGUGCAGUUUUAGCUCAUGCAGGCGAGGACUUUAAGCCAUUGGAGCAUUUGAUUCGGCUUCAUGCCAUUUGAGAUUUUUCUUCGGCUUCGUGCCACUCGAGAUUUGAUACGGCUUUGUGCCCUUUGAAACUUUUCUUCGGCUUCGUGCCAUUUGGUAUUUGAUAGCAGGAGUGAAUUUAGUUUAUAUAAACCAGGGAUUCGUUUCGAUUUCACGGUUGCGUCUAAAAGUUGAUAUUAGACUGCCUACGUAUCCUUAACGGAAUCAAACCGGCGUAGUUCAUUGUCUUGAUUUCAUGACUCAUCGCGGCUUUGUGCCAUUUGAGAUUUUUCUUCAGCUUCAUGCCUUUUGGGAUUUGAUGCGGCUUCAUGCCAUUUGAAUUUUGAAGCGGCCUCAUGCCAUUUGAAUUUUGAAGUGGCUUUGUGUCAUUCGUAAUUUGAACCGGCUCACUUCUCUUUCUCUUCGUAGAAUUUGUAAUUACUUGGUCAAAGUAACAUAAAUGAAUCUAGUUUAUAUAAACCAUGGAUUCGUCUUGAUUUCACGGUUGCGUCUAUAAUUUGAUAUCAGACUGCCUACGUAUCCUUAACGGAAUCAAACCGGCGUAGUUCAUAAAUAUUUACGAAUGAAUGAACCACGUGAAUAACAUGGGGUGUGUUUUUCCCACUUGUAACUUACUUUUUGUCCACACUUUCCUUUAUCUACUAUGCUUUUAUUUGGCACAAACUAGUGAUCAAUGCAUGCAAAGUCACUUAAUAGCUCGCCAACUUUACCAGGUACUAGAGCACCAUUGCUAUUUUUCAUCUCUCAUGUUUUGUUGGAUUGCCUACUGUGAUCAGUAGCUGUGAGAAGAGACCAAACUGAGUUUGAGACAAAUUUAGCAUCCAAGAACUGCAUGAGUUUUGUACCCAAAUACUUUGCGGGAUUUAACACUUACGAAGGUUAAUGACCUGAGUUUUGCCGCUGUGGGAUUUAAUAUCCAAGCUUUGCUCUUUGUAGAGCAAACAAAACCUAAGAACUUGAUCGUGGGUUAAGUAUCUGAUUCUUCAUCGCAGGUGAAAUGCCCUUUUGUUUUGUAGCAUUUGUCAAAUUUACUUACUUUUCCUUUGCAAACCAUCUUUUCCUUUGCAAACCUUCUAGAUGCCUGAGUCUCGUAGGAAUCCACUCCUUGAAAUAGUACUUUGAAAGCAUGAAAGCUGGACUUUUUUUUUUCAGUGAGCAGUCUUGCCAACAUAUCACUUUCCUCCAGGCGGGAAAACGGUACACGGCAGCUCCAUGCUUUGGUACCUAUCUGCACAUUUUGACGUAGAGAAAAGAACACAAGGGCUUUUGAAGAUGACCACGGCCCUUCGACUGAACUGGAAGUCUUCCCUUCUUAUUACUGAUGCAAGACUUACGCAGGAUUGAGAGCGCUGCAGAGGCUUAGUGCACGGAAUAUUGAGGUUGUCCCUUGGUUGCUGCAGUGCAGUGAUCACUUAGACCUGGUUGGAACUUCAGGGGUGGUCUAGACAACCCACAAGAAAUUCAUGGAAUUGACAACAACGGUGAGGAUCGGAUCAUGUAGACUUGACUGGAACUUCACGGGGUGGUUUAGACCACCCCGAAGAAAUUCAUGGAGUUAACGGUAACGGCAAGGACGGUUCUGUCUUCAGAACUUCUCUCGUAUGUUGGUUAUUGUUGCCAUGGUGAGCCAGUGGGCUUAGUCUCCAUUUUUUACUUUGGUGAAAUAUGAAGAAGAAAGCAAAUUUCUUCUUUCUCUCCUGCAAAAGUUGAGAGGAAACAAAACAACAAAGAACAAAUUUAAAAAUAAAUUAUACCUUCCUGCUCUUGGCUGUUUCUUUUCCUUAUGUUUCUCCCUUGCUUUCUUGCGUUGUUCUUCUUUGCCGUUCGUACUUCUCUGCUGUCUUCUCUGUGUCUUGGUCUUCUUCCUUUUUUUGUUCCUUUGUGCUCUUCUCUAUCGUCCCUUUUUUUUUUGUCGAUCUCCCUCUUUUCUGCAGCGUCUCCCCUUCUUUUUUUCUGUCCCUCGUGUGCUUCAAUUUCUGCAGCGUCUCCCUUUUUUUUCGUCCUCUCCUCAUUGCGACUGAUGCCUAUUUAUAGGCAUCAUAGGAAUCC
rnacentral:lncRNA from 1 species